CUACGGGCCGCUCCGGGCGAGAAAACUUUGCAAUGUGCGAAAGCACGACAAGGUUAAUCCGAGUGGUUUCUGCUAAAGGAACCUUUUGACAGUCCUAGAAACACUGUUGAAUAAGGGGUGGGCAAGUUCUGGUGUCAGCCGCCGCGGUAAAACCAGCACCUCAAGUGGUCAGGAUGAUUAUUGGGCCUAAAGCAUCCGUAGCCGGCUCUGUAAGUUUUCGGUUAAAUCUGUACGCUCAACGUACAGGCUGCCGGGAAUACUGCAGAGCUAGGGAGUGGGAGAGGUAGACGGUACUCGGUAGGAAGGGGUAAAAUCCUUUGAUCUAUUGAUGACCACCUGUGGCGAAGGCGGUCUACCAGAACACGUCCGACGGUGAGGGAUGAAAGCUGGGGGAGCAAACCGGAUUAGAUACCCCGGUAGUC
rnacentral:rRNA from 1 species